GACGAACGCUGGUGGCGUGCCUAAUACAUGCAAGUAGAACGCACAGUUUAUACCGUAGCUUGCUACACCAUAAACUGUGAGUUGCGAACGGGUGAGUAACGCGUAGGUAACCUGCCUGGUAGCGGGGGAUAACUAUUGGAAACGAUAGCUAAUACCGCAUAAUAUUGAUUAUUGCAUGAUAAUUGAUUGAAAGAUGCUAUUGCAUCACUACCAGAUGGACCUGCGUUGUAUUAGCUAGUAGGUGAGGUAACGGCUCACCUAGGCGACGAUACAUAGCCGACCUGAGAGGGUGAUCGGCCACACUGGGACUGAGACACGGCCCAGACUCCUACGGGAGGCAGCAGUAGGGAAUCUUCGGCAAUGGACGAAAGUCUGACCGAGCAACGCCGCGUGAGUGAAGAAGGGUUUCGGAUCGUAAAGCUCUGUUGUAAGAGAAGAACGGGUGUGAGAGUGGAAAGUUCACACUGUGACGGUAUCUUACCAGAAAGGGACGGCUAACUACGUG
rnacentral:rRNA from 1 species